UUGAAGUUGAGUAUAUUUCUACUGAAAAUCAAGUUGCCGAUAUUUUAACAAAGGCAUUGUGUGUAAAUAAAUUUAUUUCAUUUCGGGAUGCACUCAAUGUGAACUAAUUGAAUGUAAUAUGUUUAUGAAUUAGAAGUUAAUUUUUUAAGUUCAUGGUUAGAUUGUAGAAUUGAGGGAAAGUGUUGUUAUAUGCAAUUCUAUGUAACAGUUGGUAACACUGUCAUUGAAUGACAUUAUAAAUGUCAAAGAGAUAUAUGUUCUAUGUGUAGAUAACCAAUUGAUACUGUUCAGGGGGCUGACACCUUCCUACCCCCACCCUAAACCCCGUUUUUAGUUCUGCUGGCAGUCGUCCGGGGCGCUACAGUCGUAAUAAUUAAGUAUAUCGUCGAUAGAUGACUCUGUCGACCAUAGUUUUUUCACGGAUUGUCAAACAUUUUUUGACAUUGACAAUAAUUUAAUAAUAUUAACCUUAGAACAUAGAUAGAUUAUUAAUGUUCUAAGAUAUUAACAUGCAUUUGAGACACUCUGUUAUUUGUAAUUUGAGAAGACAAUUUUUUGUGUUACAAUUGGUAAAUUUAAAUUUGAAGACAAGAACCGUAAUGGCAACGAAGAUACAGAAGAGGAAAUGUUGUGUGUAAGGAUGUGAAGAUGUUGUCAGCAUGAGACAUCGUUUUCCCAAAAACAAUCCAACAUUUUUCAAGAUAUGGGAAACAUUAUCUGUUCAGCAAAUCUAUAAUAAAUAUUCUGUGUGUCAUGCCCAUUUUGAGAAGUGCUAUAUAUAGUGGUUGGAAGUUUGAGAGGCCUCACAGUUCAUGCAGUUCCUACAUUGGGUGUUCCAGGUGUUAAUAAUAAUAAUGUUGACGAGCCAAUGAACACAUCAUCAAAUUAUGAAACAGAAAUGGAAAUAUCACAGCCUGAAGAUUCAGAGGGUAUUAUGGAGUUCACAACACAAAAUGGUGUCCCCAAAGUUUUUAAUGAUGAUUUUAAUCAACCAUCAACUUCCAAAAAUCACAUUCAACCAAUACCAUCAG